UCAGACGAUGCGUCAUGCAUAUCAAUAAGCGGAGGAAAAGAAACUAACAAGGAUUCCCUCAGUAACGGCGAGUGAAGCGGGAAGAGCUCAAAUUUGAAAUCUUGAAAGGUCACCUUUCACGAAUUGUAGUUUAAAGAAGUGUUUUCUGUUACGAUCGUAAUAUAAGUUCUUUGGAAUAGGACAUCACAGAGGGUGAGAAUCCCGUCUAUGAUUGCGAUUUGUAGCUUUGUGAUACACUUUCAAAGAGUCGGGUUGUUUGGGAAUGCAGCCCAAAACGGGAGGUAAAUUUCUUCUAAGGCUAAAUAUUGGCGAGAGACCGAUAGCGAACAAGUACCGUGAGGGAAAGAUGAAAAGAACUUUGAAAAGAGAGUUAAAUAGUACGUGAAAUUGUCAAAAGGGAAGCGUUUGACACCAGUGUUGUUUUCUCGAAAAUCAAUUAAAAAUGGCUCGAUUUUGUAUUGCUUGAGACCUUAAAAGCUCACUGUACAUUUUUCGUGUCUUUUUUAAUGCACUUUUCGUUUAACAAGUCAACAUCAGUUUCUUUUGUUGUAAAAGGGUCAUUGGAAGGUGGCUUUCUUUUCGGAGAAAGUGUUUAUAGCCUUUGGCCUCUGCAAUCGAAGAGACUGAGGUCUGCAGCGUAGACUCUUCGGGGUUAGAUACAUUUGUGCUAAGUUAUAGCUUUUUAUAGACAACUUGUUGACUAUAAUUAGUCUUGUAGCUUACUCGCUUAUGCUAUUUUACCUACGCUUAGGAUGUUGAAGACUCUACAGAGAUA
rnacentral:rRNA from 1 species